CAGUCGCCGCGGUAAUACAGAGGAUGCAAGCGUUAUCCGGAAUGAUUGGGCGUAAAGCGUCUGUAGGUGGCUUUUCAAGUCCGCCGUCAAAUCCCAGGGCUCAACCCUGGACAGGCGGUGGAAACUACCAAGCUGGAGUAAGGUAGGGGCAGAGGGAAUUUCCGGUGGAGCGGUGAAAUGCGUUGAGAUGUGGAGGAACACCAGUGGCGAAGGCGACUCUCUGGUCUGUAACUGACGCUGAGGAGCGAAAGCGUGGGGAGCGAACAGGAUUAGAUACCCGAGUAGUCCCUGUCUCUUAUAC
rnacentral:rRNA from 1 species